rnacentral:lncRNA from 1 species
GUUCUCAGCCAGGGAGGUGCAGGGCACUCGGGAGCAGGAGGGAGAGAGGAAGAGGCUGAGCGCAGAGCCCACUGAGGGGCCUGGGAACCUCCCUGCCUGCUGGCCGGGCUGCCUCAGCUUCCCCUCACCCUGCAGCCUGCUACCUCUGGAUACAGCUUCCCAGAACAGCUGCUCCUGCAUCUGGGGGACAAAUCUCCUGUAGGAUUUGAGUGAGAUGUCACCAGGCUACUGCAGGCCUGAAGCAAGUCUCUGCCCUGCUACUUUCCUCCCCCAAGGGCAUUCAUUUGUCCUUAUCAGAUGCUGUCAGACUUGCUAAUCAUGGAGUUUCUGGCACCUGACAGGUGGGUUAAGGAGAGGGUUG